UAAGAGAAGUGUUGAAGAUGGAAUUACAUCUGCGUAUGCCAAGACAAUUACAUUGCAAACUCAUUCUAAAUCAGUUAGUUCUGAGCUUAAAACAUAUUCUCUGGAAGAUGGCCAUGACCAAAUAGCCAAACCUUCUUUUUCAAGUGUCACUACAGAGACUGCUACCAUCAAAGAUGUUUAUGUCAGAAACUUCCAGGAAACUUCUGAGUUUGUGGUUGCACCUACCGAGACUCAUGCUCUUGGGAACUCUUCUGGGACCACGGAGGAUUUAGAUUUUGUUUCUCUUGUCACAAGGGAGCUUGAGCGACUGGUCUCCAAGAAGCUAUUGGCUUCAGAGAACUUGCA